rnacentral:rRNA from 1 species
GACGAACGCUGGCGGCGUGCCUAACACAUGCAAGUCGAACGGAAGCAGAGAUUUCGGUUUCUGCUUUAGUGGCGAACGGGUGAGUAACGCGUGAGAAACCUGCCUCUCAGUGGGGGACAACAGUUGGAACGACUGCUAAUACCGCAUAACACUUUAGUACCGCAUGGUACAGAAGUCAAAGCUUAAUGUGCUGAGAGAUGGUCUCGCGUCUGAUUAGCUAGAUGGUGGGGUAACGGCUCACCAUGGCGACGAUCAGUAGCCGGUCUGAGAGGAUGAACGGCCACAUUGGGACUGAGAUACGGCCCAGACUCCUACGGGAGGCAGCAGUGGGGAAUAUUGGGCAAUGGGGGAAACCCUGACCCAGCAACGCCGCGUGAAGGAAGAAGGCCU